GACACAACCAGGCAGUUUCUAAAACUGAAUUGUAAAACGGGCGGCUCAUCAGCCGCCCCUUUGUGUUUUUGCAAAAUCGCUCCCUGUACUAACUUCCUCACAGCUGUUCUUAUUUCCUUUGGUAGAAUUUUUUUUUUUUCAUUCUUCCUAGGGAAGAGAAAUCAAUACAACAUCUCCAGGAGGGAGGUGGUUGGUAUCUCCUACUUUGAUCCAAACCACGUGUUGUCUGUGUUGGGUUAAUUCCAGCCUGGGUCAAGCAACUGAUCGCAAGAUGUUUUUGCGGGUUGUGUGCUAUCUUGUGGUUGUGUGGCCGAUUUCUGCCUCAUACGAGAACUGUCCAGAACUCCCCCCAGUGGGAUAUAGCAUAUUUGUUGCAACGAAGGUCGAGGGACAAAUUCUGGGGACUUACUUUUGUAUCAAGGGCUACCACCUGGUAGGAGAGAAAACCUUUAUUUGCAAUGCCUCUGGGGAGUGGAAUAAUCCCACUCCCACAUGCCAAUUGGGCCACUGUCCUGACCCUGUGCUGGUGAAUGGUGAACCCAGUUUCUCAGGUCCUGUGAAUGUGAGUGACAAAGUCACUUUUAAGUGCAAUGAGAACUAUAUCCUCCAGGGCAGCAACUGGAGUCAGUGCAUGAACGACCACACCUGGAUGCCUCCCUUACCCAUCUGCAAAAGCAGAGACUGUGGCCCUCCUGGGAAUCCGGCUCAUGGCUAUUUUGAGGGAAGAGAUUUCAACUUAGGUUCGACCAUUACUUAUUACUGUGAAGACAGGUACCACUUGGUGGGCACGCGGGACCAACGGUGCGUUGAUGGGGAGUGGAGCAGUGCACUUCCAGUCUUUGUAUCUCCUGGCACAUGCUCAGUAAAUAUCUGUUCACUGUGGGAUGUUUUUGAAGAGUUGGCCUUGGCCCGAUUGUAGAAGAGGGAUCAUAAGGUAUUAAUUCGUAGUUUUACGUGAGAAGUUCUCAUUCACCACCAUCAUCACAAACACCUCAUGAGGACGUGUUGCUUGCCUUUCAGGAGACGAAAGACCUUUGCAAAGCCAUGCGGAACUUUAUGAAAAGACUCACGGAAAAUUCCUUAACGAUGGAGGAACUAAAAUAUUUUCUGGAAAUUCAGAAAG